AUCCCUGCGGUGUUCGUGAACCGGACAUUGUUUUAACCAACAAUUUUUAAACGGGAGUUUCACUCCGGAUGUGGCUUGCAGGCCCCCUGCUUUGGCGGACGGGGAAGCGAAAAGCAUCUGGGUAAACGUUACCCACCCUGCAUAUGCAGGUUAAACCUAGUCCGUCAGACGGCACAGUGGGGCAU
rnacentral:other from 1 species